rnacentral:tRNA from 1 species
GCUGAAAUAGCUCAAUUGGGAGAGUAUCAGACUAAAGCUCUGAAGGUUCCUGGUUCAACUCUGGUGUGUUGCAGCA